GUACAGUUUUGAAUAGCUAAAGAUCAUAUUUGUGCAUUGUCAAAGUUUAAGAUCAAAGUUAUAAUUUAGUGUAAAGUUUAGGAUCAUUUUUAUGUAUUAACUCAUCUUCAAAACAUUGAAUUUAGUUUCAAGGAAUCAUGUGAUUAUUCAAUGGAGCGAUAUUGGUUCCCAAAAUUGGAUUUUCUAACUGAACUAGAUUGCCUCUGGGUAGCUUUUGAAAGUUCAAAGACAAAUGAUUUUGGGCCCUCUUUAGAGACAAAUUGGUUAUAGGAUUUUCACUUCCCGUCUAAUUUGAAAACAUUGAAGUUGUGUGACUUUCCUCUAACAUCCGAUUCACUAUCAACAAUAGCGAGAUUGCCCAACCUUAAAGAGUUGUUCCUUAUUACAACAAUCAUCAAGGAGGAAGAAUGGAACAUGGGGGAGGAAGACACCUUUGUGAAUCUAAAAUAUUUGGGCUUGAAUGACGAGACUCUUGCUAAGUGGGAGUUUGCAGAGGAAUCCUUUCCCGUGCUUGAGAAAUUAGCACUGUGGGAAUGUCGUAAGCUUACAAAGAUUCCGCCUAAUUUUGGGGAUAUUGAUUCAUUAAAAAUUAUCGAACUCUUUGAGAGCCCUCAACUUGAAGAUUCAGCUGUGGAGAUUAAACAAUAUGUUGAAGAUAUCACGGGAGUAGACAAGCUUCAGAUCCUUGAUCUGAAUAAUAUACCGUUAUCUAAGACAGAUCCUGAGAACUUGAAAGGAAGGGAAGGAGAAGUUACUUUGGUAGAAUGAAGAAAAUGGAGGAGAAAUAAAGGAGGAGGAAACAAACAACUCAUCGAACCCUUCCCUGCUUCCCCAAGCUCCUCUGCCAUGCUCAGUUCACACCUUCUAGUUGGCGUGCCGCUGCUAUGCCUAGCAGUGCGAGUUUGCUGCAACCGAAUGCUAGCGACUUCAACUGUAAGUCUCUCUUUGAUACAUACAUGGUGCUUCCCCGAGCUCCUCCUCCAUGCUCAGUUCACACCUCUUAGUUGGCGUGCUGCUGCUAUGCCUAGCAGUGCGAGUUUCUUCAACUGUAAGUCUCUCUUUGAAACAUACAUGGUGCUUCCCCGAGCUCCUCCGCGAUGCUCAGUUCACACCUCUUAGUUGGCGUGCUGCUGCUAUGCCUAGCAGUGCGAGUUUCUUCACCUGUAAGUCUCUCUUUGAAACAUACAUGGGAUUGCUGACUCUGAUAUGAUGAGCAAGAAGGAUCAGCCACCGAUAAGCAUUUGGAGUUGAGGGGCCGUUGCUUCUUAUGAUCAAGCUGUUCAAAUAGGUGCUGCUGUACAACAUUUGGCCUCAUGUGCAACAGUAAGUUUCGUUCUUAUUAAUGCACAAAUACCUGGAUAUGCCAUCUCAAACUUAUGACAAAAUUGGUGCCUCGAUAUCUCUGUAUUGGAGGCAAGAGCAUCGACAUGUUACAGCAGACAUCUGCUGCCCCAAAAGUCGUUCCUUAUGUAAAAGGUUGAAAAUAUGUUAUGAACCAAUCUUUGUUAUGUGGUCCUUUGUUACAUGGACUUUGUAUGGGUGGUGGCACAACCAAUCAUUUCAGCAAGUGUUUGUGUAUUUUCAGCAAUCUUUUCUUUUCUUGACAGACUCAAACUUAGAAUCCAAUUUCGACAAAAUAUCCUUAUGAUUUUCAACAACAUUGUUUGGAUCUUUCUUCUUGUUCAAGGAAUGCUUUGUUGAUACCGAUCAAGCAAGGUUAAAGCUAUAUUUAAGGCAUAGACUUUCAAACAAAAUCCAACUCUAUUUUUCACUUCCUCUUCUCUGCUUCCUUACCUCACCUUGCUUAGAAAUUAAGCUGGGAUGUCUACCACUACUUCUGGUCUUUCCUGUAAAUCUUGACUUACCGAGCACAAUCCAACACUUUUUAGUACAAAUAGAACAUUACAGCCCAGUAAUGGCCGGUAAGAUAAAACUCUGAUUUUGAUCACAAAGAAGACUUGAGAUGCACUUACAAAAGACUCAAAAAAGGUGUUCAUGAGACCGUAUCAAAAAAGAUUUAAGAGAUCCAAUGGAAAAUGUCAUAAUCGCAGCAUCAGUAGUUGAAAAACGAGAUAAACGCGCCAAGACCCCAGGCUUAACAAGAGGUGAAAAAGAGGAUUGAUGAGCUACACAAAGAGACAUGUUUGAUAAAUGCACUUUGAUUGAUGGUGAUGCCUAGUCACUAAUGAAGAGGUUAUUGCACAAGUCAUUCGAGAACAUGUAGAAGAUGAAUACAAAAGUGUGAUGAAAAACCUCAGUCUACUGCUACUUGCGGUGAGGUAGUAGAGUCAACUGUUAAACUCUUAGACGGUCUUCAAGAGAAAGUUAUUGAAUACCUUUUGCUGAAAGUUUGGUUGAAUCUUCAUCAAUUCAAGUGGUAGAUUCUCACCAAGAAGACUGAAAUUUACGGAAAACUAGAAUUAUAAAAUACUUACGUCAAACUUAAAAAUUUUAAAUCAUAUGUUCCUUAAAUUUUAACUCUUUGUUGGUGCAGUAUAACUAUUUCUCGGUACGAAACUAUAUUUUUAUGGAUAUAUCGAGUGUGAACAAGUUUUUCGCCUUUUGCGUAGGGAUGAGUACCUUCAAAUUUCAUCGAAAACCUUUUGAUUUCAUGAAAAGGAUAGAUGAUUUCAGUGUCAUGUAAAUAAAAGGAUAAUAAGCAUAGUUGCUUGCAGUCUAUUGGAAAUUAACGUCCAUUAAUACAA